CGCUGGCGGCAGGCCUAACACAUGCAAGUCGAACGGAUCCUUCGGGAUUAGUGGCGGACGGGUGAGUAACACGUGGGAACGUGCCUUUUGGUUCGGAACAACUCAGGGAAACUUGAGCUAAUACCGGAUAAGCCCUUCGGGGGAAAGAUUUAUCGCCAUUAGAGCGGCCCGCGUCUGAUUAGCUAGUUGGUGGGGUAAAGGCCCACCAAGGCGACGAUCAGUAGCUGGUCUGAGAGGAUGAUCAGCCACAUUGGGACUGAGACACGGCCCAAACUCCUACGGGAGGCAGCAGUGGGGAAUCUUGCGCAAUGGGCGAAAGCCUGACGCAGCCAUGCCGCGUGAAUGAUGAAGGUCUUAGGAUUGUAAAAUUCUUUCACCGGGGACGAUAAUGACGGUACCCGGAGAAGAAGCCCCGGCU
rnacentral:rRNA from 1 species